GAUGAACGCUAGCGGCAGGCUUAAUACAUGCAAGUCGAGGGGCAGCAUGAUUGUAGCAAUACAAUUGAUGGCGACCGGCAAACGGGUGCGGAACACGUACACAACCUUCCAAUAAGUGGGGAAUAGCCCAGAGAAAUUUGGAUUAAUACCCCGUAACAUAACGAUGUGGCAUCACACUGUUAUUAUAGAUUUUUCGCUUAUUGAUGGGUGUGCGGCUGAUUAGAUAGUUGGCGGGGUAACGGCCCACCAAGUCUACGAUCAGUAGCUGAUGUGAGAGCAUGUUCAGCCACACGGGAACUGAGACACGGGCCCGACUCCUACGGGAGGCAGCAGUAAGGAAUAUUGGACAAUGGACGCAAGUCUGAUCCAGCCAUGCCGCGUGAAGGAUUAAGGUCCUCUGGAUUGUAAACUUCUUUUAUAAGGGACGAAAAAAGGCUUUUCUAAGUCGUCUGACGGUACCUUAUGAAUAAGCACCGGCUAACUCCGUGCCAGCAGCCGCGGUAAUAC
rnacentral:rRNA from 1 species